AAAAAGGUUUUAUACAAAACCACAAACUCUAUAUUAUUAAAAUUUG
rfam:Monodelphis domestica chromosome 2, whole genome shotgun sequence.